UACGAAGGGUGCAAACGUUGCUCGGAAUUAUUGGGCGUAAAGCGCGCGCAGGCGGUCCUUUAAGUCUGAUGUGAAAGCCCACGGCUCAACCGUGGAGGGUCAUUGGAAACUGGGGGACUUGAGUGCAGGAGAGAAGAGUGGAAUUCCACGUGUAGCGGUGAAAUGCGUAGAGAUGUGGAGGAACACCAGUGGCGAAGGCGGCUACCUGGACGGUGACUGACGCUGAGACGCGAAAGCGUGGGGAGCAAACAGG
rnacentral:rRNA from 1 species